GAUCCUGGCUCAGGAUGAACGCUGGCGGCGUGCUUAACACAUGCAAGUCGAGCGAAGCACUUUGCUUUGAUUUCUUUCGGGAUGAAGAGCUUAGUGACUGAGCGGGCGGACGGGUGAGUAACGCGUGGGUAACCUGCCUCAUACAGGGGGAUAACAGUUAGAAAUGACUGCUAAUACCGCAUAAGGCCACAGCACCGCAUGGUGCAGGGGUAAAAACUACCGUGGGUAUGAGAUGGACCCG
rnacentral:rRNA from 1 species